GUGCCAGCAGCCGCGGUAAUACGUAGGUGGCAAGCGUUAUCCGGAAUUAUUGGGCGUAAAGCGCGCGUAGGCGGUUUUUUAAGUCUGAUGUGAAAGCCCACGGCUCAACCGUGGAGGGUCAUUGGAAACUGGAAAACUUGAGUGCAGAAGAGGAAAGUGGAAUUCCAUGUGUAGCGGUGAAAUGCGCAGAGAUAUGGAGGAACGCCAGUGGCGAAGGCGACUUUCUGGUCUGUAACUGACGCUGAUGUGCGAAAGCGUGGGGAUCAAACAGGAUUAGAUAC
rnacentral:rRNA from 1 species